rnacentral:rRNA from 1 species
CCUACGGGGGGCAGCAGUGGGGAAUAUUGGGCAAUGGGCGCAAGCCUGACCCAGCAACGCCGCGUGAAGGAAGAAGGCUCUCGGGUUGUAAACUUCUGUUAUAAAGGAAGAAAGACGGAUGGAGGAAAUGACAUCCGAGUGACGGUACUUUAUGAGAAAGCCACGGCUAACUACGUGCCAGCAGCCGCGGUAAUACGUAGGUGGCAAGCGUUAUCCGGAAUUAUUGGGCGUAAAGAGGGAGCAGGCGGCAGCAAAGGUCUGUGGUGAAAGAGUGAAGCUUAACUUCAGUAAGCCAUAGAAACCGGGCAGCUAGAGUGCAGGAGAGGAUCGUGGAAUUCCAUGUGUAGCGGUGAAAUGCGUAGAUAUAUGGAGGAACACCAGUGGCGAAGGCGACGAUCUGGCCUGCAACUGACGCUCAGUCCCGAAAGCGUGGGGAGCAAAUAGGAUUAGAUACCCGAGUAGUC